rnacentral:rRNA from 1 species
UGGGGAAUAUUGCACAAUGGGCGCAAGCCUGAUGCAGCCAUGCCGCGUGUAUGAAGAAGGCCUUCGGGUUGUAAAGUACUUUCAGCGGGGAGGAAGGUGUUGUGGUUAAUAACCACAGCAAUUGACGUUACCCGCAGAAGAAGCACCGGCUAACUCCGUGCCAGCAGCCGCGGUAAUACGGAGGGUGCAAGCGUUAAUCAGAAUUACUGGGCGUAAAGCGCACGCAGGCGGUCUGUCAAGUCGGAUGUGAAAUCCCCGGGCUCAACCUGGGAACUGCAUCCGAAACUGGCAGGCUUGAGUCUUGUAGAGGGGGGUAGAAUUCCAGGUGUAGCGGUGAAAUGCGUAGAGAUCUGGAGGAAUACCGGUGGCGAAGGCGGCCCCCUGGACAAAGACUGACGCUCAGGUGCGAAAGCGUGGGGAGCAAACA